rfam:Paraburkholderia caribensis strain Bcrs1W chromosome 1, complete sequence.
UGUCUCCUCCACCCUCCUCCAAAGGUGGAUUAAGCCCGAACCGCUAGUUCGGGCUUUUUUUC